rnacentral:rRNA from 1 species
AAAGUCUGAUGGAGCAACGCCGCGUGAGUGAUGAAGGUUUUCGGAUCGUAAAACUCUGUUGUAAGGGAAGAACCAGUAUGUCAGGCAAUGGACGUACCUUGACGGUACCUUAUUAGAAAGCCACGGCUAACUACGUGCCAGCAGCCGCGGUAAUACGUAGGUGGCAAGCGUUGUCCGGAUUUACUGGGCGUAAAGGAUGCGUAGGCGGAUAUUUAAGUGAGAUGUGAAAUACCCGGGCUCAACUUGGGUGCUGCAUUUCAAACUGGAUAUCUAGAGUGCAGGAGAGGAAAGUGGAAUUCCUAGUGUAGCGGUGAAAUGCGUAGAGAUUAGGAAGAACAUCAGUGGCGAAGGCGACUUUCUGGACUGUAACUGACGCUGAGGCAUGAAAGCGUGGGGAGCAAACA